CAAAGGUUUGGUCCUAGCCUUACUGUUACUUGUAAUUGAACCUACACAUGCAAGUUUCCGCUGCCCAGUGAGAAUGCCCUUUAAGUUAACGCUAACAACUAGGAGCAGGUAUCAGGCACACAAUAAGUAGCCCAACACACCUUGCUUUACCACACCCCACGGGACACAGCAGUGACUAAAAUUAAAUAAUAAACGAAAGUUUGAUUAAAUUACGGUUAAUUAGGGUCGGUAAAUUUCGUGCCAGCCACCGCGGUCAUACGAUUAACCCAAAUAAACAGAAAAACGGCGUAAAGUGUGUUUAAGUUAAUACAACAAUAAAGUUUAAGUACUACUAAACUGUAAAACGCUCUAGUUAGUAUUAAAAUAGACUACUAAUGUGACUUUAAUAAAACUGACACACGACAGCUAAGAAACAAACUGGGAUUAGAUACCCCACUAUGCUUAGCCAUAAACCUAGAUAAUUUAACAACAAAAUUAUUCGCCAGAGAACUACUAGCAACCGCUUAAAACUCAAAGGACUUGGCGGCACCUUAAACCCACCUAGAGGAGCCUGUUCUAUAAUCGAUAAACCCCGAUAAACCUCACCUCUUCUUGCCUAAACAGCCUAUAUACCGCCAUCGUCAGCCUACCUUAACAAAGAGACAAAGUAAGCAAAAACAUUUAUCAUAAAAACGCUAGGUCAAGGUGUAGCAUAUGAAGGGGGAAGUAAUGGGCUACAUUUUCUAUACUAGAACAUAACGAAAAUACUAAAUGAAACCCUAAGUAUCGAAGGAGGAUUUAGUAGUAAAUUAAGAAUAGAGAGCUUAAUUGAAUUAGGCAAUAAGGUGCGCACACACCGCCCGUCACCCUCCUCAACCUAUAACAAUAAAUAACUAAUAAACUAGCACAUUAAAGAGGAGAAAAGUCGUAACAUGGUAAGUGUACUGGAAAGUGUACUUGGAAUAU
rnacentral:ncRNA from 1 species